AUCUUAUCUCAUCUCAUCUCAACUUCCCGUCUUUGCUCGGAAGGUCAGGGGGCAACAUCAAUUAUCACACUUUUAGUACACCUCUGGGUUCUGAUUAUGAAUUCUACAGCUGCGUUGCUGAGUGUGGGUCGGCAGAAGAUGGAAGCCACAACAUUGUCCAGUGUGAAUGGACAAGUUACAGAUGCUACAACUAAUGAAACAAAUACAGAAGACUAUAGUGACUACUAUGAUCGAAAUGCUGAUUU